rnacentral:rRNA from 1 species
UACGGAGGGUGCAAGCGUUAUCCGGAAUCACUGGGUUUAAAGGGUGCGUAGGCGGCUUGGUAAGUCAGAGGUGAAAGCUCGCAGCUUAACUGCGGAACUGCCUUUGAUACUGCCGGGCUUGAAUCAGGACGAGGUUGGCGGAAUGUGGCAUGUAGCGGUGAAAUGCAUAGAUAUGCCAUAGAACACCGAUUGCGAAGGCAGCUGGCUAGACCUGCAUUGACGCUGAGGCACGAAAGCGUGGGGAGCGAACAGGAUUAGAUACCCUGGUAGUCCACGCCCUAAACGAUGUUCACUCGACGUAUGGGGGCAACCUUGUGCGUCCAAGCGAAAGCGAUAAGUGAACCACCUGGGGAGUACGUCGGCAACGAUGAA